rnacentral:rRNA from 1 species
UACAGAGGUCUCAAGCGUUGUUCGGAUUCAUUGGGCGUAAAGGGUGCGUAGGCGGCGCGGUAAGUCGGGUGUGAAAUCUCGGAGCUUAACUCCGAAACUGCAUUCGAUACUGCCGUGCUUGAGGACUGGAGAGGAGACUGGAAUUUACGGUGUAGCGGUGAAAUGCGUAGAUAUCGGAAGGAACAUCAGUGGCGAAAGCGACUUCCUGGACCAGUACCGACGUUCAGGCACGAAAGCGUGGGGAGCAAACAGG